UAACACGCAAGAAAUGGGGGCAGUGACACCAUCAUGGGUUGGCUUUGCCUCUCAACAGAGUCUCAUAAUCCAGUCCAACUGAGGGAGGAGAAGGGCAGCUUCUUCUACUGCGACCCGAGUGGAAAGCCAAGCCAAUUCCCACCCCACCCCCUCAACACAACCAGGGCCGCAGGAUUCAGCUCACUUGGUCUAUCUGAUUUUCCUAGCAGAUGACUGCUCUCACUCCAGAAGUUCAUAUUGGCUGAUAAGAAAUUUUCCAUUUGGCCCAAGGACUCCCUGAGCUGAAGACUCACUACAAUGCAUCCAAAUUUCUAUUUGGAAACGUUGCUGAGCCCAGUCAAACUUUAUGGGGGUGCUCCCAUCCCAGGAUGCUUUGCACCCAUACCAUCCUCUCGCAGCAAUCAGCCUCCUCUGGCUGGAUGUCACCAGGAUGUGAAGCUGUCCCCUGUUCUAGUCCAAUGCAUCCCUCACUGCCUAGAUCACCUGGUGCACCGGACACAGCAAGGGAAUGAACAGUCCAGCCAACAUCAUCUGACCGGCUCCAAACUCCAAAGAUCGCAGACAAUCUGCCAGUGGUCCUCCUGCCUUUGCCUGAAGAUCUCCAGGGACGGGGAGCUCCCUACAUUCCGAGAGAAGCUUCUCUUGCUUCAAGCCUUAAUCUGUCUCUUUUCAAUGUCUAUUCAAUGAUCAUAAUCCUACCAUUUUGGGCCAAGAAGAAUAAGCCUAAGAAUUCUCAUGGUCUUUCCUCCAAGGGCAAAGAGCUACAGUUCCUUACUUGUCUGGUUCAACAGAAUCCAGCUCAUUUUUGUCUGUGAUGACCCAAAAUCUAAGACAGUGUCAAACUGCGUAUACAGGAGGUACUUAAUAAAUGAGGGGAUGUGA